GUGCCCGCAGGACAGAAUGUAACGCGCUGUCUGUUCCAUGUGUUUCAGUUGAAAUUGCAACACUGACCAGAGAGAACGGAAAGACAGUGAUCAGGGUUCUGAAGCAAAAGGAGGUGGAACAAUUGAUUAAACAACAUGAGGAGGAGGAAGCAAAAGCUGAACGUGAAAAGAAGGAAAAGGAACAAAAAGAGAAGGAUAAAUAGAGUAUGAAAUCAAGUGUUCUCUAGAUAAUAAAGGACCUGCUUCAGUAAAAGAUAAUCUGGAUUUCUGUCUGGUAGAAGCCUGCAACUACGCCAUGGAGGACCCAGAAUUACUUUUGAUGAACCAGGUCCUUAAUCAUCAUUUAGAUAAUUAGUUUACUGCUCCUUACAUUGACCAAUAAUUGCUUUAAUUCUUGAACACACUAUUUCUUUCAUCUUCUAUUUUUUAUUAUGGAAUAAAAUUUAAGAAGAAUAGCGAUGGGUGUCUUUAUUUCCUUAGUAAUGCCUGGAUAUGCACAAUCUUGAGGAAUUUAUUCACUUUAAACCAUUAAGAUGUAUGCUAGUUGGUAAAGAACAAAUAUGGUGUUAGAAUUGUUAGAAUUUUGUGUGUAUGUGUGGGUUUUCCUUUUAAGGUAGUGAAAAGAGCUCCAUAGUUUGAGAAGUCAUUUCACAAAUACAGAAUUAAAGUGUGCUGGCAUGCCAAGUUUUAGUUUUGGCCUAUUUUGUUCUAUAACAGGCUCUGUCAAACUGAUGGUCUUGCAAGCAGUAGUGUUUUAAAAAUGCCCUGUAGCAAAUGUGUUCAGUUUAUCAUAGCCUUCACCAGUGCAUGUGUUUUGUAAGAAAUUAAUCAUACAACACGAGCUGUAUUCACACAAACUAGAAAGACAUUUUACAAAGGCCAUGUGAAAAUGUUAAUCUAUCUUGUCAGAAUAAAAAUAGGUGAAUAAAAGAGUGCAUGAUUUUAGGCCAUGUUGACUAUUUCACAUUUUAUCCUGAAAGAAAGUUGAGAUGUUUUAUGUUUAGCUUAGUGUUGCUGAUACUUCCCCAGAGAAUUUGGUUCCUUUUUCUGGCACAACAGCCUUAACAACCUGAGAAAUCAUAACGUUUGUGCAUGAAUUAGAAAUUAUUAUGAUUUUUGUCCAGCUUGCCCCUAUACUGAAUGCAAGAAAGUGUACUUGCCAGAUAAGCAAAAAUCUCUUCUGAAAAAAAAAAAUAGAGGAAAUGAAAACAAGUUAUUGAAAAUUAUUGUGCACCUUUUCAGAUCUCAAAAGCAAAGUGAAAAGCUCAAGUGACCUGCUUAAAUGUGAGGCCUUACUCGCUGAAUUUCCAGCUGUGACACUGGUGAUCCAGCCCCUUUGUGCCCACCCUGGAUUGUAUCCAUCUUGUAGCUUUUUUGGUUGGUUGGUUUGGUCUGUUGGGAGUUUUACCCCGAAGGUUAUGUGAUGUGUACAGGAGUGAAUAUGACCAUUUAAAGAAGCUGAGUGAAUCCAUGCAGCGUUCUGUUGUUAAUCCAUCCCAGACAUUUUUGACUAAAAUGUACUUUGUCAACAUGGCCAGAAAUGACCCUUCGUCUCCACUAAACCCAUUUUGGAGCUCGCUGCUGUGAGAGUCACUGUUGAGAGCAGAGGGAAGGAAUCUGCCUUGAGGUGUCUGUGCUGCACCUGGUGCAGAGGCCCUGCACUCUGGCAGCCUCUGCAGGGGCAGCAGGGCUGGCUGGGGGCUCUCUCCAGGCUGCAGGACCUGCUUGGUCAUUCUCUACAGCUCAGUGCAGGCCAAUUGCUUUAGUCCUUUGUACUGAACUUAGACAGCACACGGUUAAUAUUCAAAUUUUACAGCCAGUAAAAGUUGGACUGACUCUUAUUUACACCCUGUGCAACAGCAGGUCUUCCAAACUAACCCAGGAAUGGUAUUUCAUGUGACGAGCCCUGAGCAGUUGCAGACCACGUGCAACGGCAUCUUUUGCAGAUUUCUGGAUCACUGAUGAUGGUUAUACAAGUGCUUGGAACAUGCUCUAAAACAGCAAUGCCAAAAUGGAGUUUUGUCUCACUUCUCAAAGAUGACUUGCAACAAAAUGUGAUGGGCUCCAGCAAUGCUUUCUGUCUUUUGGGAAACCAGGAGAGCAUCUGAGCUUGUGUUCCUCGAUGUAUAUAGACCAUGCAAGGCAGUUUGUUCAGUGCAGUCGUGUAAGUAUUAUUAGCUAGCUUAGGAUAUAGACUUAUUGAAAUAUUUUUUCGUAAAUGCAUCUUUUUCUAACAAAAUGGGGAUAAUCUUUGUUUAAAGAACUACCAAUAGCAUUUCUUUGCCAAACACUGCAUAAUUUGCUGGUAAAGGAGAACUUUUUAGAUACUGUAACAACAAAAAAGUUGGAAUGACUUAAAUAAUCUUCUGAUCUGUACUCUAUUCUGUCUUGAAGCAUUAAGUUGUGUAGUUACACUACGUUUUAAAAGAUCUAUUUAUUUAAAGGUUUUGUUUACCCAAAGUAAAAGUAGUGUCAAGUACUUUAUGAGUAUAAUCUUUGAACAGUAAUUACCAGUUUAAUUUAAAAAAAAAUCAUCUCUCCUGAGUGCCAUUAAUAGCUGAUUGUGAGCUGAGCCUCAGUACUGCCUUGGAACAGGCAAGUAACUCCAGCUGGCACUCCUGCCCAAGUUGUACAGCAAAGUUCUCCUGAAAUAAACUUAAUUUCUGAUUUUUUUCUGCAUUUGAGCCUAGGGCAAUAAGCAGAUGCUGGGGAUCUUUCAUAACUAGAAUCUUCCUGAGCCAUCCUUGCAAGUUCCUUACCUGUUCUUCCUAGAGAUAAGAGCAGUGUUUGACUGCAUUGGCCUGUUGUGUUGAUUCUGGCUUUGUGUGUUUAAACAAAAAAACCUAAAAAAAAAAUCACCACCAUCUGUGCCUUCUCUGGGAGUGGUUUGGGGAUAAGUCGUAAGAACAGAAAAUGAUUCUGGCGAUACAUUUGAGGUAUCUUUGCUAAUCAAAAGAUCUUCCUGUUCUUUGUAUGUUUUUUUGGUGUACGUAGUGUUUACGUAGAGUUUACAGUGUAUUACAUAAAUAUUUCAAAUAUUUAGCUAUUGCUGUGGCUUAAAUGUUACUUUAACACCAGAACUUUGUGUGGUGCUGUGGAAGGUGACAGAUUUUUCAAAUUAGGUAGAAGUAUUUACUUGAAACUGUUUGCAUAAUAUGAUGUUUGUAAACUUAAAAACUGGGUAGCUUAUAUCUCACUUGACUGCAUGAUAGAACUUGAUAGGGCAAAUAUGCAAAUACUCACAAAUAGAUUGUCCUAAGAAAUUGUAACGUGGUUUGUUAUUCUAAGUAGCUUAAGAGGUAAUGAAACUACCGCUUCUCCAGUGAUAUCUGUGCUGUCCUUGCAUCUGUCAGUGUAAAAAGACAGUUAGCUUGUUUUCUAGGUGACUGUAUUCUGUUCAAAUAAAGUCAAACUUACUUCUAA